UAUGCUUAACACAUGCAAGUCGAACGAAUUCUUUUCGGGAAUUAGUGGCGGACGGGUGAGUAACACGUGAGAACCUACCUUCAGAAUGGGGAUAACAGUUGGAAACGACUGCUAAUACCCGAUGUGCCGAGAGAUGAAAAGAUUUUAUCGUCUGAAGAAGGGCUCGCGGCUGAUUAGCUAGUUGGUAGGGUAAAGGCUUACCAAGGCAACGAUCAGUAACUGGUCUGAGAGGAUGAGCAGUCACACUGGAACUGAGAAACGGUCCAGACUCC
rnacentral:rRNA from 1 species